rnacentral:rRNA from 1 species
GAUGAACGCUGGCGGCGUGCCUAAUACAUGCAAGUCGAGCGAACAGACGAGGAGCUUGCUCCUCUGACGUUAGCGACGGACGGGUGAGUAACACGUGGAUAACCUCCCUAUAAGACUGGGAUAACUUCGGGAAACCGGAGCUAAUACCGGAUAAUAUAUUGAACCGCAUGGUUCAAUAGUGAAAGACGGUUUUGCUGUCACUUAUAGAUGGAUCCGCGCCGCAUUAGCUAGUUGGUAAGGUAACGGCUUACCAAGGCAACGAUGCGUAGCCGACCUGAGAGGGUGAUCGGCCACACUGGAACUGAGACACGGUCCAGACUCCUACGGGAGGCAGCAGUAGGGAAUCUUCCGCAAUGGGCGAAAGCUUGACGGAGCAACGCCGCGUGAGUGAUGAAGGUCUUCGGAUCGUAAAACUCUGUUAUUAGGGAAGAACAAAUGUGUAAGUAACUAUGCACGUCUUGACGGUACCUAAUCAGAAAGCCACGGCUAACUACGUG